ACAGAGGCCUCGAAGGCACUGCUCCCAACUCUUUCCGCCUCUUUCUGCCAAGUUUGGAAUUCUUCCCUUCGGUUUUCUACCAGAAGCUAAUCUGAGAAGUACACGGAGAUGCUGGUACACAGUGCAUUACCCCGGCACUUACAGCGCAGGCGCGGGGAGAAGGCGGAGAACACUUCGGAGCCCUCAGCCCGGGAACAGUGAAGUAAUCCAUGUACACUUGACCUUGGAGCAACACGUGCGGGGUCCCCGGGUGUAGAGAUCUUUUCCGGUACACUCUGUCAGUGUAUUUCCUCUUCCUUAUGAGUGUCUUAACAGCCUUUGUUUUCCGCCUUACUUUAUUGCAAGAAUACAG
rnacentral:lncRNA from 1 species